GGGGGUGUACCCAAGUGGUUGAAGGGUCCGGUCCUGAAAACCGGAAGGACGGUAAUCGUCGCAAGAGUUCGAAUCUCUUCGCUCCCGCCA
rnacentral:tRNA from 1 species